UGGGGGAUAUUGCACAAUGGGGGAAACCCUGAUGCAGCAACGCCGCGUGAAGGAAGAAGGUCUUCGGAUUGUAAACUUUUGUCUUGCGGGACGAAUAAUGACGGUACCGCAGGAGGAAGCCACGGCUAACUACGUGCCAGCAGCCGCGGUAAUACGUAGGUGGCGAGCGUUGUCCGGAAUUACUGGGUGUAAAGGGUGCGUAGGCGGAUUUGCAAGUCAGGUGUGAAAACUAUCGGCUUAACCGGUAGCCUGCACUUGAAACUGUAAGUCUUGAGUGGUGAAGAGGUAAGCGGAAUUCCUAGUGUAGCGGUGAAAUGCGUAGAUAUUAGGAGGAACACCAGUGGCGAAGGCGGCUUACUGGGCACUAACUGACGCUGAGGCACGAAAGCAUGGGGAGCAAACAGG
rnacentral:rRNA from 3 species